UACGUAGGGGGCUAGCGUUGUCCGGAAUCAUUGGGCGUAAAGCGCGUGUAGGCGGUUCGGUAAGUCCGCUGUGAAAGUCGGGGGCUCAACCCUCGGAUGCCGGUGGAUACUGUCGGACUAGAGUACGGAAGAGGCGAGUGGAAUUCCUGGUGUAGCGGUGAAAUGCGUAGAUAUCGAGAGGAACACCUGCGGCGAAGGCGGGUUGCUGGGCCGACACUGACGCUGAUGCGCGAAAGCCAGGGGAGCGAACGGG
rnacentral:rRNA from 1 species